rnacentral:rRNA from 1 species
CUGAAGCACGAAAAGCGUGGGUAUCAAACAGGGAUUAGAUACCCUGGUAGUCCCCGCUGUAAACGAUGAUUACUAGUUGUUUGCGAUAGACUGCAAGUGACACAGCGAAAGCGUUAAGUAAUCCACCUGGGGAGUACGCCGGCAACGGUGAAACUCAAAGGAAUUGACGGGGGCCCGCACAAGCGGAGGAACAUGUGGUUUAAUUCGAUGAUACGCGAGGAACCUUACCCGGGUUUGAACGCAUAGGGACAGCAGGUGAAAGUCUGUUUCCAGCAAUGGCCCUUUGCGAGGUGCUGCAUGGUUGUCGUCAGCUCGUGCCGUGAGGUGUCGGCUUAAGUGCCAUAACGAGCGCAACCCUUAUCGUCAGUUACCAGCAAGUAAAGUUGGGGACUCUGGCGAGACUGCCGGCGUAAGCUGUGAGGAAGGUUGGGAUGACGUCAAAUCAGCACGGCCCUUACAUCCGGGGCGACACACGUGUUACAAUGGCACGGACAAAGAGCGGCUACCGGGCGACCGGAUGCCAAUCUCCAAACCGUGUCUCAGUUCGGAUCGGAGUCUGCAACUCGACUCCGUGAAGCUGGAUUCGCUAGUAAUCGCGCAUCAGCCAUGGCGCGGUGAAUACGUUCCCGGGCCUUGUACACACCGCCCGUCAAGCCAUGGGAGUUGGGGGUACCUGAAGUCCGUAACCGCAAGGAUCGGCCUAGGGUAAAACCAGUGACUGGGGCUAAGUCGUAACAAGGUAACCGUA